UCUGACAACCCAUUUAAGGGUACAUGUUUCGGCCAUGUAUUAGAGGGUUUGGUCCUUCUGUCAGAG
rnacentral:tRNA from 1 species